UACGUAGGGUGCGAGCGUUGUCCGGAAUUAUUGGGCGUAAAGAGCUUGUAGGCGGUUUGUCGCGUCUGCCGUGAAAUUUCGAGGCUCAACCUCGAACUUGCGGUGGGUACGGGCAGACUAGAGUGUGGUAGGGGAGACUGGAAUUCCUGGUGUAGCGGUGAAAUGCGCAGAUAUCAGGAGGAACACCAAUGGCGAAGGCAGCUCGCUGGGACGUGACUGACGCUGAGACGCGAAAGCGUGGGGAGCAAACAGG
rnacentral:rRNA from 1 species